rnacentral:misc_RNA from 1 species
AAACCCUUCGGCGGUCAAUUUUUAUUGCCACCGGUGCUGGCGGCGGGCGGUUCCCCCCACGGGGGAACCCCCCCGCUUAAACCUGACGGCGGGGCAGCUGGUUCAGCCGCAACAAUAGUAGUGAUAUUUUUGUUAAGGCUCCACCCAACUACCUCCAUCAAAUAGAAGGCCAUUUCCAGUGGCCUCGACUUU